AGAGUUUGAUCCUGGCUCAGGAUGAACGCUAGCGGCAGGCUUAAUACAUGCAAGUCGUGGGGCAGCAUGGGUGUAGCAAUACAUCUGAUGGCGACCGGCAAACGGGUGCGGAACACGUACACAACCUUCCUUUUAGUGGAGAAUAGCCCAGGGAAACUUGGAUUAAUACUCCGUAACAUAUAGAAGUGGCAUCACUUUUAUAUUAUAGCAGCAAUGCGCUAGAAGAUGGGUGUGCGGCUGAUUAGAUAGUUGGCGGGGUAACGGCCCACCAAGUCGACGAUCAGUAACUGGUGUGAGAGCACGACCAGUCACACGGGCACUGAGACACGGGCCCGACUCCUACGGGAGGCAGCAGUAAGGAAUAUUGGUCAAUGGACGCAAGUCUGAACCAGCCAUGCCGCGUGGAGGAUGAAGGUCCUCUGGAUUGUAAACUUCUUUUAUCUGGGAAGAAAUCCAUUUUUUCUAAAAUGGUGACGUACCAGAUGAAAAGACCGU
rnacentral:rRNA from 1 species